UACGAAGGGUGCAAACGUUGCUCGGAAUUAUUGGGCGUAAAGCGCGUGUAGGCGGCUUUGCAAGUCGGGUGUGAAAGCCCUCAGCUCAACUGAGGAAGUGCGCCCGAAACUGCAGAGCUUGAGUACCGGAGAGGAUGGCGGAAUUCCCCAAGUAGAGGUGAAAUUCGUAGAUAUGGGGAGGAACACCGGUGGCGAAGGCGGCCAUCUGGACGGAUACUGACGCUGAGACGCGAAAGCGUGGGGAGCAAACAGG
rnacentral:rRNA from 1 species